GACCCCGAGAUCAUGACCUGAGCCGAAGGCAGUGGUUUAACUCACUGAGCCACCCAGGUGCCCCUGAUGGGCAGUUUUUAAAAGCAAUCUUUGAAAGAGACUUCUUCUACAAAAGAAUAUAGAACUUUUGAACACAAGUGUUCAGCUAAACAAAAAAGUUCAGAAUGGUCCAGAUUGUAGGAAACCAAGAAAUUAGAGACGGUCCGAGGGAAAUGAGAGAGGCCUCAAAUAAGUUUAACCCAAUGUCAAUUUAACUGCCUCCGUACCAGGAGCAUAGGAACCUUUACUUUUAGGGCAAGUCUGGAUUGCACUGUAUGAAAAGGGCCAUGAAUUCUUGGAGCAGAAUGGUACAAGAAGCAGAAAUGAGAGAAAGGCCUGGGUAAGUGUGGGCAGCACAAUCACCACUUUGGGGUGGGGCCUGAAUUUCUAAAAUGACACCAUUUGUAAAAAGGGUUUCAAAUACUAUUUUGACUGGUGAUUGCAUGUCCGUAAAGAGUAUUAAUUAUUUUGGGACUACCUCCAAUGUUUAGAUGCUCCGUCUUUGGAACACACUGAUUGAUUAGUUAAUCUACAGCUGCUCCUGGUGCUUGGCAACUGUCCCCGUCUUGUUGCUAGGAGAUCAAGACAGCUCCAAACCGGCCUGUGUGACAGGCACCGUGAAGAGGUGGUGGGUUCUGCCGACGAGCCACAGUGCCAUCAAGUGGUCACUCUGCAAAACGGUUCGACGGAGUGGUUGUUCCAGAGCUUAUCCUUGUGGCUGAUCCUGGUCAAGGAGCUCCCACAGACCUUGGUGCUGUGGCUUCACGGUCUGAACCUCAGAAUCCAAGAGCCAAUGAAAUAACUGUCUAGCUCAGUCUGUCAUUUUAGAGUGCCAUCUGCUGAUGUGGUAAGUGAGAAGAUGAGGAGGAAAAAGAGAAGGAAGAAAAAUUUGAGAUGUUCUUUUUAUCUUUGAAUCUGUUGACUGAAGGAAGCACCUCCACUUAAAAACAUCGGCUCUGCAGACGUUUUGUACAUGAGCUCUUUCAUGGAGGUUGGUCCUGGCCCUGAAUACCAAAUCCAGUCUUGUCUCAUUUCUCUGUGAUUGUAUCUCUGACGCUCAACACCACAAGUCCAAGAACCUAUCAACUUAUCCAUGGCCAAA